CACAUGCAAGUCGAGGGGCAGCAUGACCUAGCAAUAGGUUGAUGGCGACCGGCGCACGGGUGAGUAACACGUAUCCAACCUACCGGUUAUUCCGGGAUAGCCUUUCGAAAGAAAGAUUAAUACCGGAUAGUAUAGCGAGAAGGCAUCUUCUUGUUAUUAAAGAAUUUCGAUAACCGAUGGGGAUGCGUUCCAUUAGUUUGUUGGCGGGGUAACGGCCCACCAAGACAUCGAUGGAUAGGGGUUCUGAGAGGAAGGUCCCCCACAUUGGAACUGAGACACGGUCCAAACUCCUACGGGAGGCAGCAGUGAGGAAUAUUGGUCAAUGGACGAGAGUCUGAACCAGCCAAGUAGCGUGAAGGAUGACUGCCCUAUGGGUUGUAAACUUCUUUUAUAUGGGAAUAAAGUGAGCCACGUGUGGCUUUUUGUAUGUACCAUACGAAUAAGGAUCGGCUAACUCCGUGCCAGCAGCCGCGGUAAUACGGAGGAUCCGAGCGUUAUCCGGAUUUAUUGGGUUUAAAGGGAGCGUAGGCGGACUAUUAAGUCAGCUGUGAAAGUUUGCGGCUCAACCGUAAAAUUGCAGUUGAUACUGGUCGUCUUGAGUGCAGUAGAGGUAGGCGGAAUUCGUGGUGUAGCGGUGAAAUGCUUAGAUAUCACGAAGAACUCCGAUUGCGAAGGCAGCUUACUGG
rnacentral:rRNA from 1 species